UCCGCGGUAGCUCAAUGGUAGAGCGGCUGCCUGUUAAGCAGUUGGUUGCAGGUUCGAGUCCUGCCCGCGGAG
rnacentral:tRNA from 1 species